AGUGGUUCCCACGGUUGUCUUAGAAACCAGACCCCGAGGCUUGGCAGAGCAGGAGCCCUCGGUGGCAGUGCUUGGGUGUCGAGGCUCUGAGGCUCCGGCCUCACCUCUCCACGGGGUCGAAGGGAACGUCUCCGGAUGCCAGGAGUCGCAAAGGGCCGACCAUGAUGAUGAAACCCCAGGCAGAGACGGGGGAAGCAGCACGGGAUCCCAGCCUCAGGCCUGCACGGACGGUGUUGGUUGGGAGACGAGGUCUCACUAUAUUGACCAGGCUGGUCUUGAACUCCUGGCCUUAAGCGAUCCUCCUGCCUUGGCCUCCCAAAGUGCUGGAGUUACAGAUGUGAGCCUCUGUGCUCAGUCCAUCCUUGGCUGUUCAAGUGUAGAGCCCUCAGCAACCACCACCUCGAUCAGUCACUAGCUAUCAACAUUGAGACAAGACCAUCCAGCAGCAAAAUGAUGAUGACUUACUGAAGGCCCAGAUGAUGGUUAGCAGUUUUUGGCAAUCACGUAUUUUCAAAGGACACGGCUUCCCCUGAACGCGGAUCCUAGAGGCCAGGCAGAAGCAGCAUGGGUUUCCACUCACACGGUAGGCGGCUGUGCAAUUUCGUCUGGAGUCCCCAGACCCCUCCUCAUCCUUCCCAGGGUUGCUCUGAGGCCAUUCCUUGUCAUCUAGGAGGGGUCUACAUAAAAGCAUUUAUAAACACCUCCAAAUGGGAGCCAGGCGUGCCCACCUUUGGAGCACUUUUCUCUACUGCAAAUUUAUCUACUGCUCGUGAAAUCUCUGGAUUUAACUCUGAUGAAAGACUGGAGGCUGAAGGAGAACUUCAAUAUCAUAUAUUUUAAAGGUUGAUUCACAGUUUGGAGCAAGAAUUAAAGAACCACGAACUUCAAGGUAAAACGGGCAACGGCGUUGGGGCAAGCCUCUCUGCAUCUGCGUGUCCAGCCUCUCCUGCGUGCCAGAAGUUCCCAGGCAGGAGUGUGGUGGGACAUCCGGCUGGGGUAAGGACAGGCACCCUCCCACUGUGUCAGGGCCCAGAGAGUGGGUGGAGAAGCUCUGCAAGAGACCUGUGCAAGGGCGCCUUGCAGGAGCCUGCAGUCCCCACAGGUGUGUUUGUGGAUAACACUUGGGGAGCCCUGGCCUUUUGGGGUCACGGAGGGCUUGGCCUCUCACCUCAGAGCUGCAGAGAAGCCGCUUCUACAUCAGGACAUCAGAAGCUGGAACAGGAUGGCCGGCGAGGGGCCUCUUGUUGGGGUCACAGAGAUGGGUCGCAGAGAUGGCCCGUGUGGAAGGUUGGAUUCUCACCCCACCUCUGCCCCUAGAUGUCCUGGUGACCCUCCCCUCUGUAGUCUUGGUUUUUUGCAAAACAGUUAUGACCUCCUGCCAUACUGGGUACUUUGCUUAUGUAUUGUGUUUACUCUUUACUGUGUGUCUCUCCUGCUAAGGUCUACGAAGAAGGGUCUUUGUGGGUGGGGUUCUUAGAGGCAUCCCAAGUACCAGAAGCAGUCCCUGGACUAAGGGGCUCAAUAAAUAUUUUUUAUUUAUUAUUUUUUCUUUUUGAGAUGGAGUCUCGCUCUCUUGACCAGGCUGGAGUACAGUGGCACAAUCUUGGCUCACUGCAGCCUUCGCCUCCUGGGUUCAAGUGAUUUCCGGCUAAUUUUUGUAUUUUUAGUAGUGACGGGGUAUCACCAUGUUGGCCAGGCUGGUCACAAACUCCUGACCUCAAGUGAUCCACCCGCCUCAGCCUCCCAACAUGCUGGGAUUAUAGACAUGAGCCACCAUGCCUGGCCAAAUAUUUGUCAAAUUGAAUUUGUAUUUCCAUACAAAUUUUAGUCUGGAUAAAGUGCUUCAUGCCUGUAAUCCAAGCACUUUGAGAGGCUGAGGCGGGUGGAUGGCUUGAGCCCAGGAGUUUGAGACCAGCAUGGAAAACAUAGAGAAACCCCAUCUCAAUAUAAGAAGAAGAAGAAAAAGAAAAAAAAAAUCAAAAACGAAAACAACACAAAUUUUAGAGUAAGUAUUUUAAGUUCCACAAAAACCUGGUUAGGAUUUGGAUAGCAAUUUCUUUAGUUCUACAAAUCAAUUUGGAAAAAAUUAAUUAAUUUGGGAAGAAUUCAUUUUGAGUCUUCUAAUCCAUGAACAUGGUAUCUCCAUUUGUUUAGACCAUCUUUAAUGCCUACUAAUAACAUUUCUGUAUAGUGACCUUGCACAUUAUUCUUAGAUUCUUGAUAUUUUGUGCUAUUAUGUCUUUUUAUAAAUUUUAUUUUUCCAACAUUGUUGCUAAUAUAUAGUAAGAAAAUGGAAUCUUGCCUAUAGAUUUUGAACCCAACAACUUUGCUAAACUCCUCUGAAUCCUCAGAAUUUCCCUGUGGAUUAUGUAGGCUCUU
ensembl:lncRNA FAM27C family with sequence similarity 27 member C